rnacentral:rRNA from 1 species
GCGCGUAAAUUGCCCGAAUCCUGACACAGGGAGGUAGUGACCAAAAAUAACAAUACAGGGCCUUUUAGGUCUUGUAAUUGGAAUGAGUACAAUUUACAUCUCUUCACGAGGAUCGAUUGGAGGGCAAGUCUGGUGCCAGCAGCCGCGGUAUUUCCAGCUCCAAUAGCGUAUAUUAAAGUUGUUGCAGUUAAAACGCUCGUAGUCGGAUUUCGGGGCGGGCCGGCCGGUCUGCCGAUGGGUAUGCACUGGUUGGCGCGUCCUUCCUCCCGGAGACCGCGCCUACUCUUAACUGAGCGGGCGCGGGAGACGGGACGUUUACUUUGAAAAAAUCAGAGUGUUUCAAGCAGGCAGUCGCUCUGGCAUGGAUUAGCAUGAGAUAAUGAAAUAGGACUUUGGUGCUAUUUUGUUGGUUUCGAACACCGAAGUAAUGAUUAACUGAGACAGUCAGGGGCACUCGUAUUCC